CCUACGGGCGGCAGCAGUCGAGAAUCAUUCACAAUGGGGGAAACCCUGAUGGUGCGACGCCGCGUGGGGGAAUGCAGGUCUUCGGAUUGUAAACCUCUGUCAUGUGGGAGCAAAUUAAAAAGAUAGUACCACAAGAGGAAGAGACGGCUAACUCUGUGCCAGCAGCCGCGGUAAUACAGAGGUCUCAAGCGUUGUUCGGAAUCACUGGGCGUAAAGCGUGCGUAGGCUGUUUCGUAAGUCGUGUGUGAAAGGCGCGGGCUCAACCCGCGGACGGCCCAUGAUACUGCGAGACUAGAGUGAUGGAGGGGGAACCGGAAUUCUCGGUGUAGCAGUGAAAUGCGUAGAUAUCGAGAGGAACACUCGUGGCGAAGGCGGGUUCCUGGACAUUAACUGACGCUGAGGCACGAAGGCCAGGGGAGCGAAAGGGAUUAGAUACCCCAGUAGUC
rnacentral:rRNA from 1 species